rnacentral:rRNA from 1 species
AUAAUUGAUCUAAAUUGUGUAUGCUUAUACUAUAUUAUUUUAGAUUUAAGUAAGCAAUCUGUCUUUAGGAAAAUUUAAACUUGGUUCUGAUUUGCUUAUAUGGUGGGUGCUAAAGAAUAUACAUGGUAUUUUUAGAGAGAAGUAAGGAGAGAUAUUAUACAAAAGUAAAAAACAUGAUUAUAUCUAAUAAUAUUAUUUAUAUAGAAGAUGUUAUGAAAGUCCUACUAACAUCAGUAUUAAAUAUUAAGUAAGAGCGAAAGCUUGUCUUAGUUGAGUUAAAGAUAUCUGGUAAAUUUAGUGCCAGCAGCCGCGGUUAAACUAAAGGAUCAAAUCAUAUAUUAGGUGGUUAAAGGCAGUUAUACAUAGUAGUUAAUGAGUUUUAUAAUUUUUUAUUAAAAGGUGAAAUUUGUAUAUAGACAAAUAAUACUAAUGUUUCUUAAAUGUUGAAGCUGCGAUAGCCUUAAGGGAAACCGGGAUUAGAUACCCCGUUAUUUUGGCUGUAAAUAUAUUAAUUUAUACCGGAGUAUUACGAAUUUUAAAUAAUUUAAAACUCAAAGAACUUGACGGUGUUUUAGACUUUUUAGGGGAACCUGUCUUACAACCGAUAAUCCACGUUAUACCUUAUUCCCUUUUGUGAUCAACUUGUAUACCGUCGUCGUCGGGUAACUUUUAAAAAUAAAGGAGUUGGCGGCAAGAAUUAAAUUAUUUUCCACGUCAGAUCAAGGUGCAGUAAAUAAGGGAGAAAAGAUGGGUUACAAUUAUUUAGUUUUAACAACGGAUAGUGGGAUUAAAUUCCAUUCUGAAGGAGGACUUAAAAGUAAGAAUUUUUAUAAAAAUAUUUUGAAUAUAGCUCUGAAGCGUGUACAUAUCGCCCGUCGCUCUCUUUGAAAAAUGAGAUAAGUCGUAACAUAGUAGGGGUAAUGGAAAUUGCUCCUAAGUAUUUUAGGU